rnacentral:rRNA from 1 species
AUUGCGCAUGGGGGAAACCCUGNGCAGCGACGCCGCGUGCGGGAUGAAGGCCUUCGGGUUGUAAACCGCUUUCACCAGGGACGAAGCGAGAGUGACGGUACCUGGGGAAGAAGCGCCGGCUAACUACGUGCCAGCAGCCGCGGUAAUACGUAGGGCGCGAGCGUUGUCCGGAAUUAUUGGGCGUAAAGAGCUCGUAGGCGGCCGGUUGCGUCUGCUGUGAAAUCCCGGGGCUUAACCCCGGGCGUGCAGUGGAUACGGGCCGGCUGGAGGCAGGCAGGGGAGAAUGGAAUUCCCGGUGUAGCGGUGAAAUGCGCAGAUAUCGGGAGGAACACCGGUGGCGAAGGCGGUUCUCUGGGCCUGUACUGACGCUGAGGAGCGAAAGCGUGGGGAGCGAACAGGAUUAGAUACCCUGGUAGUCCACGCCGUAAACGUUGGGCGCUAGGUGUGGGUCCCUUCCACGGGGUCUGUGCCGCAGCUAACGCAUUAAGCGCCCCGCCUGGGGAGUACGGCCGCAAGGCUAAAACUCAAAGAAAUUGACGGA